rnacentral:rRNA from 1 species
UGCCUACGGGAGGCAGCAGUAGGGAAUCUUCCACAAUGGACGAAAGUCUGAUGGAGCAACGCCGCGUGAGUGAAGAAGGGUUUCGGCUCGUAAAGCUCUGGUGGUAGGGAAGAGAGAUAGAGGUAGUAACUGGCCUUUAUUUGACGGUAAUUACUUAGAAAGUCACGGCUAACUACGUGCCAGCAGCCGCGGUAAUACGGAGGUGGCAAGCGUUGUCCGGAUUUAUUGGGGGUAAAGCGAGUGCAGGCGGGUCAAUAAAGAUGAGGUGAGA